rnacentral:rRNA from 1 species
AUUGAACGCUGGCGGCAUGCCUUACACAUGCAAGUCGAACGGUAACAGGUUAAGCUGACGAGUGGCGAACGGGUGAGUAAUGUAUCGGAACGUGCCCAGCUGUGGGGGAUAACUGCUCGAAAGAGCAGCUAAUACCGCAUACGACCUGAGGGUGAAAGCGGGGGAUCGCAAGACCUCGCGCAAUUGGAGCGGCCGAUAUCAGAUUAGGUAGUUGGUGGGGUAAAGGCUCACCAAGCCGACGAUCUGUAGCUGGUCUGAGAGGACGACCAGCCACACUGGGCCUGAGACACGGCCCAGAGUCCUACGGGAGGCAGCAGGGGGGAAUUUUGGACAAUGGGCGCAAGCCUGAUCCAGCCAUGCCGCGUGCGGGAAGGAGGCCUUCGGGUUGUAAACCGCUUUUGUCAGGGAAGAAACGCUCUGGGUUAAUACCCUGGGGUAAUGACGGUACCUGAAGAAUAAGCACCGGCUAACUACGUGCCAGCCGCCGCGGUAAGAC